rnacentral:rRNA from 1 species
CCUACGGGUGGCAGCAGUGGGGAAUAUUGCACAAUGGGCGCAACCCUGAUGCAGCGACGCCGCGUGAGUGAAGAAGUACUUCGGUAUGUAAAGCACUAUCAGCAGGGAGGAAAGUGACGGUACCUGAGUAAGAAGCCCCGGCUAACUACGUGCCAGCAGCCGCGGUAAUACGUAGGGGGCAAGCGUUAGACGGAUUUACUGGGUGUAAAGGGAGCGUAGACGGCAGUGCAAGUCUGGAGUGAAAGGCGGGGGCUCAACCCGCGGACUGCUCUGGAAACUGGACGGCUUGAGUGCAGUAGAGGGGAGUGGAAUUCCAAGUGUAGCGGUGAAAUGCGUAGAGAUUUGGAGGAAUACCAGUGGCGAAGGCGGCCUCCUGGAC